rnacentral:rRNA from 1 species
GCAGCCUGAUGCAGCCAUGCCGCGUGUGUGAAGAAGGCCUUCGGGUUGUAAAGCACUUUCAGUCAGGAGGAAAGGUUAACGGUUAAUACCCGUUAGCUGUGACGUUACUGACAGAAGAAGCACCGGCUAACUCCGUGCCAGCAGCCGCGGUAAUACGGAGGGUGCGAGCGUUAAUCGGAAUUACUGGGCGUAAAGCGUACGCAGGCGGUUUGUUAAGCGAGAUGUGAAAGCCCCGGGCUCAACCUGGGAACUGCAUUUCGAACUGGCAAACUAGAGUGUGAUAGAGGGUGGUAGAAUUUCAGGUGUAGCGGUGAAAUGCGUAGAGAUCUGAAGGAAUACCGAUGGCGAAGGCAGCCACCUGGGUCAACACUGACGCUCAUGUACGAAAGCGUGGGGAGCAAACGGGAUUAGAUACCCCGGUAGUCCACGCCGUAAACGAUGUCUACUAGAAGCUCGGAGCCUCGGUUCUGUUUUUCAAAGCUAACGCAUUAAGUAGACCGCCUGGGGAGUACGGCCGCAAGGUUAAAACUCAAAUGAAUUGACGGGGGCCCGCACAAGCGGUGGAGCAUGUGGUUUAAUUCGAUGCAACGCGAAGAACCUUACCUACACUUGACAUACAGAGAACUUACCAGAGAUGGUUUGGUGCCUUCGGGAACUCUGAUACAGGUGCUGCAUGGCUGUCGUCAGCUCGUGUUGUGAGAUGUUGGGUUAAGUCCCGCAACGAGCGCAACCCCUAUCCUUAGUUGCUAGCAGGUAAUGCUGAGAACUCUAAGGAGACUGCCGGUGAUAAACCGGAGGAAAGGUGGGGACGACGUCAAGUCAUCAUGGCCCUUACGUGUAGGGCUACACACGUGCUACAAUGGCGCAUACAGAGUGCUGCGAA